rnacentral:rRNA from 1 species
GACGAACGCUGGCGGCGUGCUUAACACAUGCCAGUCGAACGGAAAGGCCCUGCUUGCAGGGUACUCGAGUGGCGAACGGGUGAGUAACACGUGGGUGAUCUGCCCUGCACUUCGGGAUAAGCUUGGGAAACUGGGUCUAAUACCGGAUAGGAGCCAUCUUUAGUGUGGUGGUUGGAAAGUUUUUUCGGUGUAGGAUGAGCUCGCGGCCUAUCAGCUUGUUGGUGGGGUAAUGGCCUACCAAGGCGGCGACGGGUAGCCGGCCUGUGGGGUGGGACGGCCACCUUGGGCCUAGGCAAGGCGCCAGCCUCCAAGGGGGGGCAGAGGGGGGAAAUAUGCGACAAUGGGGCCAAGCCUGGGGGCGGGACCCCCGGUGGGGGAUAAAGGCUUUGGGGUUGUAAACCCCUUUCCAUGGGAACCAAGCUUUUUGUGCCGGUCCUAAGAAAAAAACCACCGGCCAAUUCCGU